rnacentral:rRNA from 1 species
CUGCCGGCCGGGCAGCGGGCCGUUCUCGCUGACCGGGCAGCCGAACGCGAUGGGCGGCCGCGAGAUGGGCUACAUGGGGCCGGGGCUGCCCGGCCAGCGCUCGGCGCUCGACGGCGACGACCGCCGCUUCGUCGAGGAAAUCUGGGGCUUGCCCGCCGGCACGAUCCGGCCGGACGCGGGCGGCGGCACCGUGGACCUGUUCGCGAGGAUGGCGGCGGGCGACGUGAAGGCGUGCUGGAUCAUCUGCACGAAUCCGGUCGCGACCGUCGCGAACCGCAAGAACGUGAUCACCGGGCUGCAGGCGGCCGACGUGGUGAUCGUGCAGGACGCGUUUCUCGACACCGAGACCAACCGCUACGCGGACAUCCUGCUGCCGGGCGCGCUGUGGGCGGAAGCCGAGGGCGUGAUGAUCAACUCGGAGCGCAACCUGACGCUGAUGCGGCAGGCGCUCGAGCCGCCCGGCGACGCGUGGCCGGACUGGCGGAUCGUCGCGGCGGUCGCGCGCGGGAUGGGCUACGGCGAUGCGUUCGACUAUGGUUCGGCCGCCGAGGUGUUCGACGAGAUCCGGCGCUUCGCGAAUCCGAACACGGGCUAUGACCUGCGCGGCGCGAGCCACGCGGCGCUGCGCGCCACGCCGUUGCAAUGGCCGUGCCCGCCGGAGGACGGGCGCGACCGCCACCCGAUCCGCUACCUGAACGACGGCGCGAGCCGGCCGCGCGUGACGCUGCCCGACGGCCGCGUGCCGCCGCUCGCGUUCCCGACGCCGAGCGGCAAGGCGCGCUUCUUCGCGCGGUCGCACGUCGCGCCGGCCGAGAUGCCGACGCCCGAAUUCCCGAUCGUGCUGAACACGGGCCGCCUGCAGCAUCAAUGGCACACGAUGACGAAGACGGGCAAGGUCGCGAUGUUGAACAAGCUCGAUGCGCGCCCGUUCGUCGAAAUCCAUCCGGACGACGCGGCCGCGCUGUCGAUCGCGGCGAACGACGCGGUGGAGAUUCGCUCGGCGCGCGGGCGCGCGGUGCUGCCCGCCGUCGUCACCGAUCGCGUGCAGCCCGGCGCGUGCUUCGCGCCGAUGCACUGGAACGACGUCUACGGCGACGAUCUGUGCGUGAACGCGGUGACGAACGACGCGGUCGAUCCGGUAUCGCUGCAGCCGGAACUCAAGUUCUGCGCGGUCGCGCUCGCGCGCGUCGACGCGCCGGACAGCGCCGAUGCUGGCGCGCACGCCGGCGCCCAUGCCGCCCCGUUACACGAAACCGGCUCGCGCGAAGCCCAAGCGCAGGCCGCCCCACGCGCGCACGAAGCGGCCUGCGCCGAUGCCGCCCCCGAGGAACACGACAUGUCCGACAUCGACACCUUCGCCGCGCUGCUCGGCGUUCCGGCCGCGACGAGCGCACCGCAGCUCACCGACGCGCAGCGCGUCUACGUCGCGGGCUUCGUGAGCGGGCUGCGCUCGGCCGAGGGCCGGCGCGCGGGCGGCGUGCCGAUGCUGCCCGCGAGCGCGCCGUUCGAUGCGAAAGCGCGCCUGUGGCUCGACGGGCUGCUCGCCGGGCUGUUCAGCCGCGCGCCGCUCGGCGCGACGGCGCGCGUCGACGCGCGCGCGGYUGCGGCCGCGGCCGUGCCGGCGCCGAGCGGCGCGGCGGACGCGGUGAGCGCGCCGAGCGGCGCGGCGGACGCGGUGAGCGCGCCGAGCGGCGUGCGGAUCGUGCGCACGCGGCCGAAGGUCGUGCUGCUGUGGGCGUCGCAGACGGGCAACGUCGAAUCGCUGACCGAGCGCUACGCGACGCAACUGAUGGACUCGGGCUUCGAGAUCCGCGUCGCGUGCAUGUCCGACUAUCCGGCCGCGUCGCUCGCGAAGGCGCAAUACGCGCUGCUGAUGACGAGCACGUUCGGCGACGGCGACGCGCCGGACAACGGCCAGGCGUUCUGGACGGCGCUCGCCGCGGCCGGCGCGCCGCGCGCCGACGGGCUGCGCUAUGCGGUGCUCGCGUUCGGCGACCGCAACUACGACCCGUUCUGCGGCCACGGCCGCCGGCUCGACGCGCGGCUCGCCGAGCUCGGCGCGACGCGGCUCGUCGAGCGCGUCGACUGCGACGCCGAAUUCCAGCCGGCCGCCGACGCGUGGCUCGAGCGUGCGAUCGCGCGGAUCAAGGAGGAGGACGCGGCGCUGCACGCGGUGCCGGCGGACGGGAUGAUCCCGUCGGGCGCAAUUCCGACGAAGACGCGUCCGGCCGCGUCGCGGCUCGUCGCGAACCUGCGGCUCAACGAGCCGGGUGCGGCGAAGGACACGCGCUGCGUGUCGCUGUCGACGGACGGCGCGGCGAUCGAAUACGAAACGGGCGACGCGCUCGGCGUGUGGCCGACGAACUGCCCGGAGCUCGUCGACGAGCUGCUGGCGUUGACGCGGCUGAAGCCGGACGCGCCGGUGACGGUCGCGGGCAUGGGCGAGCUGCGGCUGGCCGAUGCGCUCGCGAAGCAUCUCGACAUCACGCGGCCGCAUCCGGACGCGCUCGCGUUCGUCGCGUCGCGCAGCCGUGCGGGCGACGCGCUCGCGCGCCUGCUCGGCGACGAUCGCAAGACGGACCUGAAGCACUGGCUGUGGGGCCAGCAGCUCGCCGACGUGCUGCACGAGUUUCCGCUGGAGCUGUCGGCGGCCGAGCUCGUCGGCAUGCUCAAGCGCCUGCAGCCGCGCCUCUACUCGAUCGCGUCGAGCCCGAGCGCGCAUCGCGGCGAG